CCAGCAGCCUGUAUGAGAGCAGAUGGGGAGGUGUGUGCAGUGCUCAGUCCUGUUCAGCUCUCAAUUUAUUACUCUUCCUCUUCUCCAGAUCCCAUCUCCAAGGCAGACAUUUGUCCUGGCCACGACACCAGGAGCCCCAGGAGCAGGACAAAUAGACCUUCACCUUGAUGUGAUUGCACUCACUGAUAAGUGAGCCCUGGCCCAGGAGGGCUGCAUGCACGGGGAAGCCUGGAUGAAGUCAUGGAGUAAUCACGGGAAGUGAAGAUAUGGAGCAAAGCUGCAGGAAAAGGAGGCCCGGCGAUGCUAAAUGGCUCACUCAAUAACGCAAAAGUGAAAGCGGUUAGGCCAAGGCUGAGGUCCCUGUUUGCAACAGCCAGCCUGGUCACU